rnacentral:rRNA from 1 species
GGAGACUGCAAGCGUUGUUCGGAUUCAUUGGGGCGUAAAGGGUCCGUAGGGCGGGUUGACCAAGUCGGAUGUGAAAUUCCCGAGCCCAACUCGGGUUAGUCAUUCGAAACUGGUUGACUAGAGGACUGGAGAGGAGACUGGAAUUGUCGGUGUAGCGGUGAAAUGCGUAGAGAUCGACAAGAACACCUGUGGCGAAGGCGGGUCUCUGGACAGUUCCUGACGCUGAGGGACGAAAGCUAGGGGAGCGAACGGGAUUAGAUACCCCGGUAGUCCUAGCCGUAAACGGUGUUCACUUGGUGUGGGGGGAGUCGACCCCCUCCGUGCCGGAGCUAACGCGUUAAGUGAACCGCCUGGGAAGUACGGCCGCAAGGCUA